UUUGCGUCGAAGGUAUACCGGUAAGGAGUGCUGGAGCGAAUAGAAGUGAGCAUGCAGGCAUGAGUAGCGAUAAUUAAUGUGAGAAUCAUUAACGCCGUAAACCCAAGGUUUCCUACGCGAUGCUCGUCAUCGUAGGGUUAGUCGGGUCCUAAGUCGAGUCCGAAAGGGGUAGACGAUGGCAAAUUGGUUAAUAUUCCAAUACCAACAUUAGUGUGCGAUGGAAGGACGCUUAGGGCUAAGGGGGCUAGCGGAUGGAAGUGCUAGUCUAAGGUCGUAGGAGGUUGUACAGGCAAAUCCGUAUAACAAUACUCCGAGAACUGAAAGGCUUUUUGAAGUCUUCGGAUGGAUAGAAGAACCCCUGAUGCCGUCGAGCCAAGAAAAGUUUCUAAGUUUAGCUAAUGUUGCCCGUACCGUAAACCGACACAGGUGGGUGGGAUGAGUAUUCUAAGGCGCGUGGAAGAACUCUCUUUAAGGAACUCUGCAAAAUAGCACCGUAUCUUCGGUAUAAGGUGUGGUUAGCUUUGUAUUAGGAUUUACUCCGAAAGCAAGGAAACUUACAACAAAGAGUCCCUCCCGACUGUUUACCAAAAACACAGCACUCUGCUAACUCGUAAGAGGAUGUAUAGGGUGUGACGCCUGCCCGGUGCUCGAAGGUUAAUUGAUGGGGUUAGCAUUAGCGAAGCUCUUGAUCGAAGCCCGAGUAAACGGCGGCCGUAACUAUAACGGUCCUAAGGUAGCGAAAUUCCUUGUCGGUUAAAUACCGACCUGCAUGAAUGGCGUAACGAGAUGGGAGCUGUCUCAAAGAGGGAUCCAGUGAAAUUGUAGUGGAGGUGAAAAUUCCUCCUACCCGCGGCAAGACGGAAAGACCCCGUGGACCUUUACUACAGCUUGACACUGCUACUUGGAUAAGAAUGUGCAGGAUAGGUGGGAGGCUUUGAGUAUAUGACGCCAGUUGUAUAUGAGCCAUUGUUGAGAUACCACUCUUUCUUAUUUGGGUAGCUAACCAGCUUGAGUUAUCCUCAAGUGGGACAAUGUCUGGUGGGUAGUUUGACUGGGGCGGUCGCCUCCCAAAUAAUAACGGAGGCUUACAAAGGUUGGCUCAGAACGGUUGGAAAUCGUUCGUAGAGUAUAAAGGUAUAAGCCAGCUUAACUGCAAGACAUACAAGUCAAGCAGAGACGAAAGUCGGUCUUAGUGAUCCGGUGGUUCUGUGUGGAAGGGCCAUCGCUCAAAGGAUAAAAGGUACCCCGGGGAUAACAGGCUGAUCUCCCCCAAGAGCUCACAUCGACGGGGAGGUUUGGCACCUCGAUGUCGGCUCAUCGCAUCCUGGGGCUGGAGCAGGUCCCAAGGGUAUGGCUGUUCGCCAUUUAAAGCGGUACGCGAGCUGGGUUCAGAACGUCGUGAGACAGUUCGGUCCCUAUCUGCCGUGGGCGUAAGAAGAUUGAAGAGAUUUGACCCUAGUACGAGAGGACCGGGUUGAACAAACCACUGGUGUAGCUGUUGUUCUGCCAAGAGCAUCGCAGCGUAGCUAAGUUUGGAAAGGAUAAACGCUGAAAGCAUCUAAGCGUGAAGCCAACUCUAAGAUGAAUCUUCUCUAAGCUCUCUAGAAGACUACUAGUUUGAUAGGCUGGGUGUGUAAUGGAUGAAAGUCCUUUAGCUGACCAGUACUAAUAGAGCGUUUGGCUUAUCUUUAAUAAAGCAU
rnacentral:rRNA from 1 species